CUUGUCGGGUAAGUUCCGACCUGCACGAAUGGUGUAACCAUGGCCACGCUGUCUCCACCCGAGACUCAGUGAAAUUGAAAUCGCAGUGAAGAUGCUGUGUACCCGCACCUAGACGGAAAGACCCCGUGAACCUUUACUACAGCUUGGCACUGAACAUUGAACCUACAUGUGUAGGAUAGGUGGGAGGCUUUGAAGCACAGUCGCUAGAUUGUGUGGAGCCGUCCUUGAAAUACCACCCUUGUAGUGUUGAUGUUCUAACGUCGACCCCUUAUCGGGGUUGCGGACAGUGCCUGGUGGGUAGUUUGACUGGGGCGGUCUCCUCCCAAAGCGUAACGGAGGAGCACGAAGGUGGGCUAAUCACGGUUGGACAUCGUGAGGUUAGUGCAAUGGCAUAAGCCCGCUUGACUGCGAGAAUGACA
rnacentral:rRNA from 13 species